rfam:Hordeum vulgare subsp. vulgare, WGS project CAJW01000000 data, contig: morex_contig_78871
UUAUUACUCCAUCCGUCCUAAAAUUCUUGUCUUAGUUCUAUCUAGAUAUGAAUCUAUCUAAAUAUUAAUACAUUACUAGAUGCAUUCAUAUUUAGACAAAUCAAAGACAAGAAUUUUGAGACGGAGGAAGUAUUUG